rnacentral:rRNA from 1 species
AGAGUUUGAUCCUGGCUCAGGACGAACGCUGGCGGCGUGCUUAACACAUGCAAGUCAAGGAGAACGGAUCCUUCGGGAUACUAUUAAACUGGCGAACGGGUGAGUAACGCGUAGGCAACCUGCCUUGGAGAUUGGGAUAACCCCGGGAAACCGGAGCUAAUACCAAAUAAUGCAGCGGAUCCUUCGGGAUAUGUUGUUAAAGUGGGCUUCGGCUCACACUUCAAGAUGGGCCUGCGUCCGAUUAGCUUGUUGGUGAGGUAAUGGCUCACCAAGGCGAUGAUCGGUAGCUGGUCUGAGAGGAUGAUCAGCCACACUGGGAUUGAGAUACGGCCCAGACUCCUACGGGAGGCAGCAGUGGGGAAUUUUGCGCAAUGGACGAAAGUCUGACGACGCAAUGCCGCGUGGAGGACGAAGACCUUCGGGUUGUAAACUCCUGUCGAGCGGGACGAACAGCAUUCGGGUUAAUACCCCGGGCGCCUGACGGUACCGCUAAAGGAAGCCCCGGCUAACUCCGUGCCAGCAGCCGCGGUAAUACGGGGGGGGCAAGCGUUGUUCGGAAUUACUGGGCGUAAAGGGCUCGUAGGCGGCUAGUCAAGUCGGAUGUGAAAUCCCCAGGCUUAACCUGGGAACUGCAUCCGAUACUGGCUGGCUUGAAGCCGGGAGAGGGAUGCAGAAUUCCAGGUGUAGCGGUGAAAUGCGUAGAUAUCUGGAGGAAUACCGGUGGCGAAGGCGGCAUCCUGGACCGGUCUUGACGCUGAGGAGCGAAAGCUAGGGGAGCAAACGGGAUUAGAUACCCCGGUAGUCCUAGCCCUAAACGAUGAAUGCUUGGUGUGGCGGGUAUCGAUCCCUGCCGUGCCGGAGCUAACGCAUUAAGCAUUCCGCCUGGGGAGUACGGUCGCAAGGCUGAAACUCAAAGGAAUUGACGGGGGCCCGCACAAGCGGUGGAGCAUGUGGUUUAAUUCGACGCAACGCGAAGAACCUUACCCGGGCUUGAAGUGCGAGUGACCAUCGGUGAAAGCCGACUUCCGCAAGGACACUCGUAGAGGUGCUGCAUGGCUGUCGUCAGCUCGUGUCGUGAGAUGUUGGGUUAAGUCCCGCAACGAGCGCAACCCUUGUUUGCUGUUGCCAUCAGUUCGGCUGGGCACUCUGCGAAGACUGCCGGUGAUAAACCGGAGGAAGGUGGGGAUGACGUCAAGUCAGCAUGGCCUUUAUGUCCGGGGCUACACACGUGCUACAAUGGCCGGUACAGAGCGUCGCGAACCCGCGAGGGGGAGCUAAUCGCACAAAGCCGGUCUCAGUUCGGAUUGCAGGCUGCAACCCGCCUGCAUGAAGCUGGAAUCGCUAGUAAUCGCGGAUCAGCACGCCGCGGUGAAUACGUUCCCGGGCCUUGUACACACCGCCCGUCACAUCACGAAAGCUGGCUGUACUAGAAGUCGCCGAGCUAACCCGCAAGGGAAGCAAGCGCCUAAGGUGUGGUUAGUGAUUGGGGUGAAGUCGUAACAAGGUAACC